rnacentral:lncRNA from 1 species
UCCUGAGUAGUUGAAUACAGACUUGUGGUGCCAUCCUUGCUUCAAAAGCCAUAUUUAUAUGAGUUCUCUUUGCUAUGCAGCAUGAAAGACGUUAAGUCACUUAGUACUCUGUUUCAGAUUGUAAGGCCUUACACCGAGGAGGCUGGCAGUUUUGUCGACAUUGCUUUCUUAUUUUUAUUUCUAUAGCUUCUUUCUAGAAAAGAGGCAAACUAUUCUUAAAAAGUCAGUGGUUCAUAAUAAAAGGAACUAGAUACUCCAUGGAAAUUGUAGUUUGAAUGAACCAUGAGACCUCUGAUAAAGUCACCUUGAAUUUGUGUCUUGGUUAGAUUCACUGUACAUUUAUGUCACUGUACAUUUAUGCCACAAAAAUAGUCAUUUUCAACAGAGAAAAGGCAUGACCAAAUAUUACUCCUUUUAAUUAAUGUUCACUUUCAUUUUGCCUAGCGGUAAUACCAAAUGAUCUAAUCUAAAGUCUCUACCUAAACUCUGUGUAUGUGUGUGUGUGUAUGUGUCGCAUGGUGUUUCCCUGGCGUGUAGACCAGGCUAGCCUUGAACUCAUAGAGAUAUUUGUGCCUCUGUGUACCAUUGUGCCUGGCCCUAAACUGCUUUUUAUUCUAUAUACUAUCUAAUGUUCAUAAUAUCAAAGCUAGACUGUUAAUUUUAUUUAGUAAGUUUUCCCUUUUUUUUCCUCCAUCGAAGAAGAAAGUGUACUCAGUCUAGCCAAACUAUUUAAAAUAUCUCUUAAGCCAGGUGGCAUUAGCACACACCUUUAGUCCCAACACUUCAGAGGCAGAGGCAGGUAGAUCAUCUCUGUGAGUUUGAGGCCAACCUGGUCUACAGAGUUAAAUUCCAGGAUGGCCAGGGCUAUCCAGAGAAACUGUCUCAAAAAACCAGAAAACAAAUUCCCUCUCGAUUCUUCUUUUGGUUAGUCUAGCAGUUUGAAAAUAAUUGGCUUAGGAAGGAUAAUUGCUAAGACUCUCAUAUUUAUUUUUUUACAUUUACCUUGAUUAUGUGAUAAAGUUUUAUCUAUUGCUUUUUUUCUUUGACUUGUAGUAGUGAAUUAUUGUGGACCUAAACCUUCUGAAGGUAUAGAAGCCUUGAUUUUGGAGAUAAUGUGAGAUUUUGUUGCAGGAAGGAGAUACAGGGUUUUGGCAAAGCCUAGUGUACCUUUUAUGUACAUGGAGUAUGAGAGGAAGGUAAGAGAAAAGGAAGUCUUCAUUUCAUUUCUCUUUAAUGCACAACUUUCUUGUUAGUAACGGCUUUCCAGUCAAACAUUUAAUGAAUCCUGAAUUAAUAUUAAGUAUUUUAUAUAUUUUCAUACCAUCUCAUCCUGAAAAUGUUAGUAGUUUUUCCUUUUGCUGUGACAUUUGGGAAUGGUUCCAACUUGUUUUAAAACUACUCACUGCUCGUGAGUGAUGGCUGACUGUAAGGGGCUUGAAACUCACUCCUGGCGUAGUGCAGAGUUUUUAGGUAAUGUCCCCUAUCCGAACGCUUGUAUUGAGUUAAGUACUCCUGAUACUGAGAUAAGGUCAGAGAGGGUUUUGGGGACAGGGUUUUGUUAUAUAGUCUAGGUCAGCCUUUAACUUACUUUGUAGUUUAGACUGGCUUUGAAUUUGAGGUUUUGCUGCCUCAGACUCCCCAAGUGCUGAGCUUGUAGGAGUGUGUCCCCAUGCCCACCUCUGGUUCUCUUAAUGAUGAGGAAGACGAUGUGGGGAAACUUUGCCAUUGCUUCAGUAUUACAUCUGUGUGUGUGUUUAAAGUGAGUGUUCCAUUAAUUAGCUUACUCUGCUCCUGGGACAUGUAUAUAAAGUUUCUUUGAGGGUUGGCCUGUUUUCUAACUUUAAAUUGUGGAUUUUCUAUUACAAUUUUCAACACAAAAUGCCUUUUUAUGACUGGCUGGAAAUAGUUCUGAGGAGACUCAUAACUGGUUGAAAGAGUCUCAGCCUUUGCUUUGUGGCUCUGGGACAUGGUGAAGGAGUCAGAUCAGUGUCCCUAUAGGUGUUCUGUACAGGCAAUAUUCGUGCACUUCUGUCACUAAGUGUAGCACAUUUAUAUGAUAUAAUGGAGAUUUCAUUAAAAAUAACUCACUUUAGGAAAAGCUAGUUGUUGCCAAGAUGUCCUUGUUUUUGUUUUGGGUGCUGGGGGUGCAUUCACAGGGCUCUGUGUAUGCCAGGGGCUAGCUCUAUGCACCAGGUGUAGCGCUUUAGUGUGCCUCUUAUCAAAUGGAUAAAAUUACAACUUUGAUUCUUUCACUGAGAAAUCUCUCAUGAUUUAUUGCUUACUGAUAAAUUUUGAGCAUCUCUUUUGAAGAAUACCAAAAAUCUGUCUCAUAGAUGCUUGUGACAUUUCUGUCCUCUUUCCCUCCCUCUACCCCUUUCUCUUUUUCUUUUUCUAUGCAGCUCCAGCCAGAGGUUUGUGUUUGAUACCUGCUGUAUACUGGGUCAGGCCUCUGAAUGUUUAUGCUUGAUUCACUUUCUCUCACUCAUUAAGACAGACACGCAUUGUAUUUUCCAUGUAGUUUCUUUAGUAGGUCACACACAGUGGUUGGUACCUGGAAUAUGUGAAUGAGACAAAAAUUCAGUAGGUUAAUAUAAGCCCAAGCAAAAGGAACCCCCCUCCCAUCUCCCAAGUGCCAUGGAAAUAUCAAAAAGACCUAUUUUGUUUGUGUAAGUUUUUUGGAAUAUAGUUGAGUAUGAUUUUAUUUAUUUUUUUUAAUCAGGUGGCCAACAUCUCUGUAUUUUGCAACCUAGCAAGUGGAACCAGUGUGUUUUUUGUCAGGAGUGAGGCCAUAAGCAAGCCUCAUUUAGCAAAGUGAAAAGUAUUCUUGUCUCAUGUGGCCUGCCGUAGUGUCUACGGUUAUUUUCAUCAGGAGUUGUACUGUGGCUCCAUCUUGGACACUGGUUCUUAUCUACCUUUUCAUGCUUUAGAUUAAUGUACAGGGUGU